rnacentral:rRNA from 1 species
CCUACGGGGCGCAGCAGUGGGGAAUAUUGCACAAUGGGGGAAACCCUGAUGCAGCGACGCCGCGUGAGUGAAGAAGUAUUUCGGUAUGUAAAGCUCUAUCAGCAGGGAAGAAAAUGACGGUACCUGACUAAGAAGCCCCGGCUAACUACGUGCCAGCAGCCGCGGUAAUACGUAGGGGGCAAGCGUUAUCCGGAUUUACUGGGUGUAAAGGGAGCGUAGACGGCAUGGCAAGUCAGAUGUGAAAGCCCGGGGCUCACCCCCGGGACUGCAUUUGAAGCUGGCAAACUGGAGUGUGUGAGAGGAUA